CCCUUAGAUGUUCUGGGCCGCACGCGCGCUACACUGUUCGACGCAGCGAGUCUUAACCUUGACCGAAAGGUUUGGGUAAUCUUCAGCAAAGUCGAACGUGAUGGGGAUCGAUCAUUGCAAUUAUUGAUCGUGAACGAGGAAUUCCUAGUAAGUGCAAGUCAUCAGCUUGCGCUGAUUACGUCCCUGCCCUUUGUACACACCGCCCGUCGCUACUACCGAUUGAAUGGUUUAGUGAGAUCUCUGGAUUGACGCUGGCUAGGGGGCGACCCUUGGCCAGACUGCUCGAGGAACUGCUCAAACUUGAUCAUUUAGAGGAAGUAAAAGUCGUAACA
rnacentral:rRNA from 1 species